GUGAAGUCGUAACAAGGUAACCGUAGGGGAACCUGCGGUUGGAUCACCUCCUUACCUUAAAGAA
rnacentral:rRNA from 1 species